UAGGGAAUCUUCCGCAAUGGACGCAAGUCUGACGGAGCAACGCCGCGUGAGUGAAGAAGGAUUUCGGUUCGUAAAACUCUGUUGUUAGAGAAGAACAGCGCAUAGAGUAACUGUUAUGCGUGUGACGGUAUCUAACCAGAAAGCCACGGCUAACUACGUGCCAGCAGCCGCGGUAAUACGUAGGUGGCAAGCGUUGUCCGGAUUUAUUGGGCGUAAAGCGAGCGCAGGCGGUCAAUUAAGUCUGAUGUGAAAGCCCCCGGCUCAACCGGGGAGGGUCAUUGGAAACUUGUUGACUUGAGUGCAGAAGAGGAGAGUGGAAUUCCAUGUGUAGCGGUGAAAUGCGUAGAUAUAUGGAGGAACACCAGUGGCGAAAGCGGCUCUCUGGUCUGUAACUGACGCUGAGGCUCGAAAGCGUGGGGAGCGAACAGG
rnacentral:rRNA from 1 species